rnacentral:rRNA from 1 species
UCUUCCCUCUUUCUUCGUGCCUAAUACAUGCAAGUCGAGCGAACGGACGAGAAGCUUGCUUCUCUGAUGUUAGCGGCGGACGGGUGAGUAACACGUGGAUAACCUACCUAUAAGACUGGGAUAACUUCGGGAAACCGGAGCUAAUACCGGAUGAUAUUUUGAACCGCAUGGUUCAAAAGUGAAAGACGGUCUUGCUGUCACUUAUAGAUGGAUCCGCGCUGCAUUAGCUAGUUGGUAAGGUAACGGCUUACCAAGGCAACGAUGCAUAGCCGACCUGAGAGGGUGAUCGGCCACCCUGGAACUGAGCCACGGUCCAGACUCCUACGGGAGGCAGCAGUAGGGAAUCUUCCGCAAUGGGCGAAAGCCUGACGGAGCAACGCCGCGUGAGUGAUGAAGGUCUUCGGAUCGUAAAACUCUGUUAUUAGGGAAGAACAUAUGUGUAAGUAACUGUGCACAUCUUGACGGUACCUAAUCAGAAAGCCACGGCUAACUACGUG